rnacentral:rRNA from 1 species
CCUACGGGUGGCUGCAGUGGGGAAUAUUGCACAAUGGGGGAAACCCUGAUGCAGCGACGCCGCGUGAGUGAAGAAGUAUCUCGGUAUGUAAAGCUCUAUCAGCAGGGAAGAAAAUGACGGUACCUGACUAAGAAGCCACGGCUAACGACGUGCCAGCAGCCGCGGUAAUACGUAGGGGGCAAGCGUUAUCCGGAUUUACGGGGUGUAAAGGGAGCGUAGGUGGCCUGGUACGCCAGAAGUGAAAACCCGGGGCUCCACCCCGCGGAUUGCUUUUGGAACUAUCAGGCUGGUGUGCUGGAGGGGUACGCGGAAUUCCUCGUGUAGCCGUGACAUGCGUAGAUAUUAGGCGGAACCCCGGUGGCGAAGGCGGCUUACUGGCCAGCAACUGACACUGAGGCUC